AGUAAAGCAAGCAUCUUUGCUAUGGCUUUAGGGGUUUCGAGAAGCUUGUUGCCUGCACAGAGUAGUUAUUCUUUGUCUCAGGUCAAGAAAGCUUUUGAUUAGAACAGGGCAGUGUUUUCUCUUGAAUGGUUUCAUUUUCUUGGGAAGUAUUUUUGUCCUGAACUCAGUCGUCAUCCCAACAUUACAAUGGAUACUACCUGAUCAGUAUUCAGAUAUUAGUUCUCAAG
rnacentral:misc_RNA from 1 species